GGUGAGCCUAGGGGGUGAGGCCGGACUUGAACUCUAGACCUCCAGACUGCUAGCGGCUACCACUACCGACUGAGCUAUCCUACCCCCUUCUGAGCUGUUUAAAAUUUUAAAUUCCUAUUCCCAGAGCCGUAUCUGCCACAC
ensembl:ncRNA F20D1.20 ncRNA